CCUACGGGUGGCUGCAGUCGAGGAUCUUCGGCAAUGGGGGCAACCCUGACCGAGCGACGCCGCGUGUGCGACGAAGGCCUUCGGGUUGUAAAGCACUGUCGAGGGGGAGAGUUGUUUCCUGGAGGAAGCUCGGGCUAAGUUCGUGCCAGCAGCCGCGGUAAGACGAACCGAGCGAACGUUGUUCGGAAUAACUGGGCUUAAAGGGCGCGUAGGCGGGCCGCCAAGUUCGAGGUGAAAUCCUCCGGCUCAACCGGAGAACUGCCUCGAAUACUGGAGGUCUCGAGGCGGGUAGGGGCAUGCGGAACUGUGGGUGGAGCGGUGAAAUGCGUUGAUAUCCACAGGAACUCCGGUGGCGAAGGCGGCAUGCUGGACCCGUCUGACGCUGAGGCGCGAAAGCCAGGGGAGCAAACGGGAUUAGAUACCCUUGUAGUC
rnacentral:rRNA from 1 species